rnacentral:rRNA from 1 species
CCUACGGGAGGCAGCAGUGAGGAAUAUUGGUCAAUGGACGAGAGUCUGAACCAGCCAAGUAGCGUGAAGGAUGACUGCCCUAUGGGUUGUAAACUUCUUUUAUAAAGGAAUAAAACGAGGCAAGUGUGCCUUUUUGCAUGUACUUUAUGAAUAAGGAUCGGCUAACUCAGUGUCAGCAGACGCGGUAAUACGGAUGAUCCGAGCGUUAUCCGGAUUUUUUGGGUUUAAAGGGAGCGUAGAUGGGUUGUUAAGUCAGUUGUGAAAGUUUGCGGCUUAACCGUAAAAUUGCAAUUGAUACUGGCAGUCUUGAGUACAGUUGAGGUAGGCGGAAUUCGUGGUGUAGCGGUGAAAUGCGUAGAGAUCACGAAGAACCCCGAUUGCGAAGGCAGCUUACUAAACUGUGACUGACAUUGAUGCUCGAAAGUGUGGGUAUCAAACAGGAUUAGAUACCCGGGUAGUC